rnacentral:rRNA from 1 species
AAAUUGAAGAGUUUGAUCAUGGCUCAGAUUGAACGCUGGCGGCAGGCCUAACACAUGCAAGUCGAGCGGUAGCACAGAGAGCUUGCUCUCGGGUGACGAGCGGCGGACGGGUGAGUAAUGUCUGGGAAACUGCCUGAUGGAGGGGGAUAACUACUGGAAACGGUAGCUAAUACCGCAUAAUGUCGCAAGACCAAAGUGGGGGACCUUCGGGCCUCAUGCCAUCAGAUGUGCCCAGAUGGGAUUAGCUAGUAGGUGGGGUAACGGCUCACCUAGGCGACGAUCCCUAGCUGGUCUGAGAGGAUGACCAGCCACACUGGAACUGAGACACGGUCCAGACUCCUACGGGAGGCAGCAGUGGGGAAUAUUGCACAAUGGGCGCAAGCCUGAUGCAGCCAUGCCGCGUGUGUGAAGAAGGCCUUCGGGUUGUAAAGCACUUUCAGCGGGGAGGAAGGCGNNNNNNNNNNNNNNNNNNNNNNNNNNNNNNNNNNNNNNNNNNNNNNNAACCUGGGAACUGCAUUCGAAACUGGCAGGCUAGAGUCUUGUAGAGGGGGGUAGAAUUCCAGGUGUAGCGGUGAAAUGCGUAGAGAUCUGGAGGAAUACCGGUGGCGAAGGCGGCCCCCUGGACAAAGACUGACGCUCAGGUGCGAAAGCGUGGGGAGCAAACAGGAUUAGAUACCCUGGUAGUCCACGCCGUAAACGAUGUCGAUUUGGAGGUUGUGCCCUUGAGGCGUGGCUUCCGGAGCUAACGCGUUAAAUCGACCGCCUGGGGAGUACGGCCGCAAGGUUAAAACUCAAAUGAAUUGACGGGGGCCCGCACAAGCGGUGGAGCAUGUGGUUUAAUUCGAUGCAACGCGAAGAACCUUACCUGGUCUUGACAUCCACAGAACUUAGCAGAGAUGCUUUGGUGCCUUCGGGAACUGUGAGACAGGUGCUGCAUGGCUGUCGUCAGCUCGUGUUGUGAAAUGUUGGGUUAAGUCCCGCAACGAGCGCAACCCUUAUCCUUUGUUGCCAGCGGUUAGGCCGGGAACUCAAAGGAGACUGCCAGUGAUAAACUGGAGGAAGGUGGGGAUGACGUCAAGUCAUCAUGGCCCUUACGACCAGGGCUACACACGUGCUACAAUGGCAUAUACAAAGAGAAGCGACCUCGCGAGAGCAAGCGGACCUCAUAAAGUAUGUCGUAGUCCGGAUUGGAGUCUGCAACUCGACUCCAUGAAGUCGGAAUCGCUAGUAAUCGUAGAUCAGAAUGCUACGGUGAAUACGUUCCCGGGCCUUGUACACACCGCCCGUCACACCAUGGGAGUGGGUUGCAAAAGAAGUAGGUAGCUUAACCUUCGGGAGGGCGCUUACCACUUUGUGAUUCAUGACUGGGGUGAAGUCGUAACAAGGUAACCGUAGGGGAACCUGCGGUUGGAUCACCUCCUUA